GUCAAUCUCAAAGGAGGCUGCGUGAACUCCUUGGCCCGAAGCUCCGGAGGAGAAAGAGCUCUCUAUUGCCUUUACUGAUGCUCACUGCUGGGAUAUCCCAUGCCGUUAGCUCCAGGUGGUGGCAAUACAGAGCAUCCUGAAAGAAAUGAUGGGUCCAAAUGUUCUCCUUGGACUUCCUUGGCGGUAUGGGAAGAUGCAGAUUGAGAUUCUCCCAAGCACAUAUAAAGGUUGGGCGGAGAAUGUCUUGAAAGCAGCCCUGAGGAGAAGGACUGGGGAGUGUCAGUUAGUGAAACAUUCAACAUGAGCCAGCAGUGUGCGCCUGCAGCCCAGAAGGCCAACCAUAUCCUGGGUUGCAUCAAGAGAAGUGUGACCAGCAGGUCGCGGGAGAUGAUUCUGCCCCUCUACUCUGCUCUCAUGAGAACCCACCAGGAGUACUGCAUCCAGUUCUGGGGCCCCCAGUACAAGAAGGACAUGGAGCCGUUGGAGGAGGUCCAGAGGAGGGCCACAAAGAUGAUUGGAGGGCCACAAAGAUAAUCAGAGGGCUGGAGCACCUCCCUUACGAGGACAGGCUGAGAGAGUUGGGGCUCUUCAGCCUGGAGAAGAGAAGGAUCCAACGAGACCAUAUAGCAGUCUUCCAGUACCUGAAGGGGCCUACAGGAAAGCUGAGGAGGGACUUUUUAUAAGGGCAGGUAGUGAUAGGACAAGGGGAAAUGGCUUUAAACUGGAAGAGAGUAGAUUUAGACUAGAUAUUAGGGAGAAAUUCUUUACUGUAAGAGUGGUGAGACAGUGGAACACGUGGCCCAGUGAGGUUGUGGAUGCCACCUCCCUGAAAGCAUUCAAGGCCAGACUGGAUGGGGCUUUGAGCAACCUGAUCUAGAGGGAGGUGUCCCUGCCUAUAGCAGGGGGUUGGAACUAGGUGAUCUUAAAUGUCGCUUCCAACCCAAAUCAUUCUAUGAUUCUGGAUGUAAACUUUCCCAGUGAGAGGACUUAUGCAGCACAUGUUAUAUGGGGAGGGAGAAGGCUGAGAAAAAAUUGCUCUCCUGUGACUUGUCUACCUCAUGAUGUGAGCAGCAACACUUUGUAACACCCCAAAUUCUGCUGAGGAUGCUGUGUACACUACUCUGCUCAAAAGGUAAUAGCACGGAAUUGAUGUCUAACAACACAAGCCUUAACCCUUGAGUCCUGAGGGACGGCUGGGCUCUACAUCUGAAGAGCACCCGUAGGACCAGGGCACAGAUUUGCAGGUGCAAAUCAGUGCAUGCAACUACAGAUCACAAAUGUGCAAAUGUCAUGCUCUGAUCUUUCACACUGCCAUCCACCAGACUGCAGACAGAAACCCAGGCACCGUGCAGAGGCCCAUGAAAACCUUCACUCCUAAUUGUUUAGCAGCUUGCCAGGCAGAGGAUGCGUGUCCUCCUGCUUCUGUGAUGUGCAUUAGCAUUUUCUGUCUGGGUUAGGAUGCUGCUUCUUCCUGACAGUUUCAGAGCCCGAGUGGGGCUUCACUGUCCGUUUGCACCCUGUCCUGAUGUAUUACGAACCUCCCAUGGAGGUGGAUCGACAGUUUUAGAUCACGACACCACCUGCCUUCUUUUAGCUUUACACAUGCCCAAAGACCUGUAAUAUUUACCAACAAGAAUCUCUCCUCAGUCUAAUCCAGUUCACAUGAAUAACACAUAAGGCUUCCUCUUGCAAGAGGCAGCCUUAAGAUGUAAUGCUCGUUUUUGCGCUUGCUGUCUUCCUUCCCUUGUCCUCAUUUUGCCUUCAAAGGGGCUGUCUGUGCGAGGGGGCUAAAAGACGUGGGUCCUGGCAUGGCUCCUGCCUGAAUUAACGUAUGUGAGAGCAUAGCUGAACAUUUGCUACCCAGAGAGCGUGCAGCGCAGCGACUGCGUUUAUUAAACAUGUCAGUGUAAUUUCCAAGCUCCGGCACUGCCACGGCACUGUGAGAGUAGGCUUGUAUUCCUGUACGAGUCCGGCUUGUCUGCCAACAUGUCUACCCUUUCUGCAGGUGUAUGCGUUACAGCCCAAGGCAAAAAUAUCCAUGCCUUCCCCAAAGAUCUCAUGGUGCUUCUGCGGACCAGAUGGUUCCAAUUUGAGGCCUACACUCGGUGAUGUAGCUGUAUUGAGUUUCUUCCCUGAAACCAACAAAACCUGCUUUAGCAUUUUGCUUGGAUUAAAAUAUUUGUCCCUUUUUUCACAGGGCAGAAGAGGGACUCCUGAAGCCACUGAAGGAAGGAAAUCAUUACAGGGUUCUACAGAAGUAGGUCAUGUGCUACAGCUGCUCAUAGUUUAAGAGGAAGAAACAUGGGACCUCAAACAUGGAACAUGACUCCUUCAAAAUGCUUGAGAGCAACCCAAGAAAAACAUCCUCAG
ensembl:lncRNA